AAAGAAAAACACACCAACAACAUAACAACCAAUCUUUACCAACUUCAGAACAAAUAGAGUUCACCAAAAAAAUGUGUGUACACGGGGCUGGGGAUUUAACUCAGCGGCAUAAGCACCUGCCUUGCAAGUGUGCAGUAGUGAGUUUGAUCCCUGGUACCAAUAAAAACAAAAAAGACAAAAAAAAAAAAAAUGUGUGUACACUUUAGGAAAAGAAAAACUCGUAUAAUUUUUUUUACACCAAGAAUCAAACUCAUGAUCUUACUCUUGCCACGCACAAAUUGUGCCACUGAGCUGUAUCCCAAGCCCAAAACUUAUAUAGAUAUUUUAAUACUAAAUGUAUUCAGACAUCAUGAGAUUAGUACGUUACCUUUUUACCUUUGGCCUCUACAAUUACAAAAGGUGCUCUCAGUGGUGUCCACCAGCUUCCUGACAUUUAUUACUACAGCAAACCCGUGUGUGUGUCACCUUAGUCACUGAGAUUGCUGCACACACAUUUUUGAUUUCUCCUCUCAGGGCCGGCGGUGCAGUGGGUUUUCUGUGAUGCGUGGCAUCCUCUAGCGUCUCUCACAUGAGGGUGACCCCAUCUGUGGAGGAAAGAGUGUGCCAUUUUCUUUUCCUGGAGUGGGUAUACAUUUGUUUGGUGGACUCUACUUUGUGGUGCAAGACUUGGUCGGUUUCGUGCUUCCUGUAGAGUCCAGACUGACCCUGCUUCCUCAAGACCAUACCAGUAAGCUCUCCAAUGUGCCAUUUGUUUUCACUUUCAGUUCCUCCCCUAAAACUCUGCUCCCCGUUACCGGAGAAGCACAGGGCAUCUUCCCUUGAGAUGCACCCUCUCAUUCCUUCUUCAGCCAGCGCUAUCCCUCCAGGAACCAGGACCUGGGGGCCGUCCAAUUGAAAAUGAGCACCCUGGACAAGGCGGAGGAGAGGAUCUCCAGUUUGACUAGGCCUGGCCCAGGAAAUGUAGGCGCUCCUGGGCAUGGACACCGUGGCCUUGCUGAAGCUGCAGGAGGAGGAGCACAGAGAGCGGGCUGAUGAGCAAGGGCUGCAACCCCAGACGCGCAGCGAGGCCGCCGGCCGAGGACCGUCGCCACCUGCCACCGUACAGCUCCUGGACGCCGCAGGACAUGGCAGCAGCGGGCUUUUACUGCACCGGGUGAAGCCCAAGUCCGGGUUCAGUGCUUCUGCUGCAGCUUGGUCCUCUCCGGCUGCAGCUGCGGGAAGGUCCCCGUGGAGCAUCGCAGGGAGUUCCGCCCCGGCUGCCCGUUCCUGCUGGGCAGAGACGUGGGCAACCUGGGCAAGUACGACGUGCGGGUGAAGACCCCAGUCGAGGAGCCGAGCGGUGGCCGACGAGGUACCGCGAGCAGGAGGCCAGGCUCGCGUCCUUCCAGGACUGGCCCUUCUGCGUCCACGCAGUGUCCCCACGGGGCCUCGCAGCUUCCGGCUUGGUCUUUACAGGGGAUCGAACACAAUGUCACACUUUCCAGGCAGGUGCGUGUGCCGCUGAGCUCCGUCCCGGCGCCUGUGUGUUUAUGUCUUGGCCUCACCAUGGAUGGUGACAGGAGACCGAGGCUUCCUAAGAGCGACCGUGGCUUACUGAGCGGCUGCUUCAUGCGAGGCGCAGAUGAACUCCAAUUCCGCACCAACCCAUUUGCCCCUUUCUUUUCCAAGUCACAGUUGUUUCCAUCAAGACUCAGAGAUCUUUCAGUUUUUGUUUUCACCAAGAAUCAAAAAAAGGGCCUGCAUUUUACAGAAGCAGCGUGGAGAAACUAACAGCGAGGGUUUGCAGCUGCGGAGCUCAGUGGACUGGAUGUGCACAGGCAGGGGCUCGCGGGGCGCAGCAGGGCUGACCGGGUGGCCGAGCGCUCCUGGAGGAACAGCACGCGGGGCAGCUGGGCCCUGAAGAGAGCUGUCACCUCCGGGAGCCCCUCAGGGCCGCUGGUGGCCCCUGAGCCGCUGUCCUGUGUCCACAGGUCACAGGGACACCAUGCAGUGCUUCUCCUGCGGCGGAUGCUUAGGAAACUGGGAAGAAGGGGACGACCCCUGGCAGGAACAUGCCAGGUGGUUUCCCAAAUGUGAAUUUCUUCAAAGUAAGAAGUCCUCAGAGGAAACUGCUCAGUAUAUUCAAAGCUACCAGGGAUUUGUUGGCAUGACGGGAGAACAUUUUGUGAAUUCCUGGGUCAAAAGAGAAUUACCUGUGGCAUCAGGUAAAAACGCAGGCGUAUUCCAAAGGCUUUGCUUGUUUAUUUCUUCUUUUGCUUUCUUGCUCCCCAUUGUGUUCCAUGUUCUUAUUUGGUACGGAGGACCGAAGGCAAAGCUGCAGCCACCAGCCUUUUUAUGUUUUGGGACAGGGCCGUGGAAGCUGCUCAGUGGCCCAGGGAGAGUUGGACUGCCUGUCCCCAGAGUGCUGGGACUCUCGGCCUGCUCCCUUCGUUUGCUUUCUAACACUUCCAUUUCGCACCUUACUUACAGCACCAUAAUUCUUCUCAGAAAUCAUUUUCAUAAGAGCUUUUUGGUCUCACGGAGUGACUCAGUUUUUAGUAAGGGUGAGCCCAGGAAAAUAGUUACGGUUGAUUUCUCCACUAACCCUUUCCCUAAAAAAACUGAAGUUCCUGAAUAAAGUGUUGUGAAAACAUUCUCAAAUGGCUCAGCAGCGUGGCAAGAGAUGAAUGAAUGUUCACAUUAGCUGUGAAAUAUCUAGCAUGUGCCUGCGAUCCCAGCACUCAGAAAGCUGAGGCCGGAGGACUGAGAGCUCAAGGUCAGCCUGAGAGCUACGGAGCAAGAGUCUGCCCCAAACAGAACAGAAGGGAACAGUGAGGCGAUGGCAACAGAGCCAGCUUCCAUCUCGGGCUACCUGAUGCUAACUUUACGAGUCCCUGUUUAUUCUGUUCUGUACGAUGGUUGAAGGUUCUUCCAAGGGGAUGUAUGUAUUAGAAUUUCUACUUGCUUUUUUUAAAAAACAUUUUAUUCACCUGAACUAUUAAGACCUAAACUACAAAUAUCUAUUAGAUUAGACAGAUUAGGUUAUAUAUUUUCCUAACAUUAAAAUUCCUAUCAUUAUUUAAAUGUGCAUAUGAGAGUUCGAUCCCAGUAUCAAAAAUAAAGAAGUAAAUAAAUAAAUAAAUGUUCAUGAGUGGGGGGGAUGAGGUGUCACUUUGAAGGCCCUAGGCCCCCUUGGACCUGCAGUAAACAAUAGCCCCCCCGUAUGCGAGACAGAGGCGGGACAGGAAUGCCUGUUCUUCUCACCCUCUGAAAACCAUGCUGUGUGACCUGGCUUUGUUUACAGAGUCAUGAGGAAGUGGUCCAUCACCUUUUGUGACACUAGCAACAAACAUAAUUAACAACAUUCUUGGGCUAAUGAAUUUCCUCCUGGGCUAGAGGAGCUAGAAGAACUGAUUGUGCUUGUUUACUUCACUUAGAUAGUUUAGGAUAAACAUUGUAGUCUGUCACAUUGUAGCUUCUCACAAAGAAUGCUUUUUCACUACAAUUGUCUGUGCUCUGUGAAUUGAUGUGGUUUACUAUAUAAGAAUCCUAAAAUAAAGAUUGUGCAUGCAGUGCAGUGCAGGCAGUA